rnacentral:rRNA from 1 species
UUAGGGGUUUCUGGUUUUUCAAGAAAUGAAUUUAAUUCAUGCGUCUUAUUUAGAGUUUUAUUAUUUGUUUAUUUAUUUUUAUUUGGCGUUAAGAUUGGGAGGGAUUAGCUUCUUAUUUUAUUUUUAUAAUUUUUUAUUUAUUUAGUCUUGUGGGUUUUAUAGUGAUUUUCAAUUUGAUUAUGUUAAAAUUUUAUUUGUUUUGUUCUUUAUUUUUGUUUAUUUAAUUAUUUAUUGAAAUGUAUUCUUUAUCUUUGGUUUUGGUUAGUAAUUAUUGUAGAAUUAGUAAAUUUGUUGUUAGGUUGUUUUAUUUGUGUUAAUUUUCUUUGAGGAACUAGGCAAAUUUCAUGUCCGCCUGUUUAACAAAAACAUCUUUUCUCGUUAGUUUUUGAAGUAUGGCCUGCCCACUGACUUUGGUGUUGAAGGGCCGCGGUAUUUUGACCGUGCAAAGGUAGCAUAGUCAUUAGUUCUUUAAUUGUGAUCUGGUAUGAAUGGCUUGACGAGGCAUGGGCUGUCUUAAUUUUGAAUUGUUUAUUGAAUUUGGUCUUUGGGUUAAAAUUCUUAGAUGUUUUUAUGGGACGAGAAGACCCUAUAGAGUUUAACAUUUGUUAUGGUCCCCUUUCUGUUUGUGAGGGUUCAUUGGGCCGAUAAAUAUGUUUUGUUGGGGUGAUGGGAGGGAUUAAUUUAA